CGGGACCGUCCGGCAGGCUCCGGCAAGCCGGCUGGUUCUCUGGGGGUCAAGGGGUCGUCGGUUCGAAUCCGGCCGUCCCGA
rnacentral:tRNA from 1 species